AAUAACACCGUAGGCUGGAAAUUGUUUGACGAAUUUCAAACAUGCUGUACUACUCUUCUUUUUCUCUUCGGAACUAAUUUGGCGACGGAUUGUAUGAGGCGCAAGAUUGCAAAAGGGCUGCAAUUAAUGUAUUUGGACACGUCUGUUCAUUGGAAAAUAUUUAAAUUCCUGAUUCUGAAGACUUAAAUUUUAACACACAGUUUUGUUAUAAAUUAACAAAAAAAAUGGAUGAAGAGCCAGAAAGAGCUAAACGCUGGGAGGGAGAAUUUGAACGCACAUGGGAACUACUCGUGGAGGAUGAAUCCGGUUCCCUUAAACCAUCUGUGGAAGAUAUUCUCUUUAAAGCAAAGAGAAAAAGAGUAAUUGAGAGUCAGGGGCAGAUCAGACUUGGGAUGAUGCGGCACAUGUAUAUUGUUCUUGAUGCUUCAAGGACAAUGGAAGACCAGGACUUAAAACCAAAUCGGCUCACUUCCACUCUCAAGCUUCUGGAAUUUUUUGUGGAAGAAUACUUUGAUCAGAACCCAAUCAGCCAGCUAGGUAUAAUUGCAACAAAAAAUAAACGAGCAGAAAAGCUUACAGAUCUCGCAGGAAACCCAAAAAAGCAUAUAGAAGCACUAAAAAGAGCUGUGGACACAACAUGUUCUGGGGAGCCUUCACUCUAUAAUUCACUCAGUUUGGCAAUGCAAAAUUUAAAACAUAUGCCAGGACACACUAGUCGAGAAGUACUUGUAAUAUUUAGCAGUCUAACAACUUGUGAUCCUGCCAACAUUUAUGAUUUGAUAAAGACUUUGAAAUCAACAAAAAUACGUGUAUCAAUAAUUGGUCUUUCAGCCGAAGUUAGAGUCUGUACUGUUCUUGCACGUGAGACUGGAGGGACAUAUCAUGUAAUUUUAGAUGAAAGCCACUUCAAAGAGCUACUGAUGUAUCACGUAAAACCUCCUCCUGCUAGCUCAAGUUCAGAGUGCUCUUUGAUUCGUAUGGGUUUUCCUCAGCACACACUUGUGUCCAUUUCAGAUCAAGAUUCCAAACCUUCUUUCAGUAUGGCGCAUUUGGACAGCACAGUUGGCCCAGGGCUUACACUUGGGGGUUACUACUGUCCUCAGUGCAAAGCUAAAUAUUCAGAGUUGCCAGUGGAAUGUAAAGUCUGUGGUCUGACGCUAGUGUCUGCACCACACUUGGCAAGAUCCUUCCACCAUCUCUUUCCUUUAGAUGCUUUUAAAGAAAUUCCUUUGGAGGAGCACCAAGGAGAGAGCCGCUCAGUGUGAACAUGGCUUUUCAGUACGGAACAGAAUAAAAUCAAAAGUACAAAGCUCACUCAACCUUGGAGGAAUUAGUCACAAUCAGUACAGAAGGCCCAUCGCUUGAGCAAUUUCCUGAGUCCUGUGUCAAAUGUUGGCUCACUUCAAAGAAGAGUAAAAGAAGACCAAAUUACAUUGGAUAGCCCUCUGACACUGAUAUUCUGAUGGUCAGUGAUACCAUGUCAGAACCUGAGUAAAAUACACAGUUAUUAAUAACUACACAUAGUCUGAAAGUUACCCAAAUCAUCAAGAUGGACAUAAAAGCUCAAGGGAAGGAUUCAUUACACAGGAGAAGGAAAAGAAUUAGGCACGUAUACAUGGAAGUUAGAAAGGAGCCACUGGUUCCUUGAGGUGAAUUUUUGUCUGGAGCGCUGGUAUGUACACCCCCAAAAUAUAACAAAUAAAAGUAGCACUGCAGGCCCGAAGGAGUGAAGGUUGACUGAGAUAUUCCUGACCUGUCAGCCAUUUGUAAAAGAACUGACAACAGGUUUUGUGAAGGGUGUCAAGGAGACCUUAAAGAGCAAAAUGUUUACAUAUGCCCAUCAUGCGAGAGUGUCUUCUGUAUGGAAUGUGACCU